CAGCCAAAAAAGAAAAGAAAAGAAAAGAAAAAAAUACACCAUAAAUAU
rnacentral:ribozyme from 14 species